rfam:Salmo salar isolate Sally breed double haploid chromosome ssa03, whole genome shotgun sequence.
UGCAUUCACUACUGUAAGUCGCUCUGGGUAAGAGCGUCUGCUAAAUGACGUAAA